rnacentral:tRNA from 1 species
UGGGGAUGUGGCUCAGUUGGUAGAGUGUUUGCCUCACCUGCACAAGGUCCUGGGUUCAAUCCCCAGAACCACAA